AGGGUUUCGAUUAUUUAUCACUGAAAACCAUGAGCUAAUGGCAGCUAUUUAAAUAGCACUUGAUCAUCAACCUCUUCUUGGGUAUUAUAGUUUGCAGAAUAUCAAGUAAAUGUGUGGUAUAACCAACAGAGUCAUAGAAGAAGCAUUUCUGUAAUUUAUAUUUCACAAAGUAUCUACUAAUUUAGAACCUUUCCAAUUUGAAUUCCUAAUCCAAUAAUAUACAUGAUAUGGCAACAUCUUUCUUUAAAAGUCAUUAAGCGGGUUUCUCACAGUCUCUCACUGCCGUAUCAUGUUUUGUUUGAUGUUUUGAUUAAAACAACAGCAACAUAUUGCUCCCAAUCUCAACAAUAUACAUAUACUAUAUUUUUAUAAUUUUUUGUUUUGAUACAUUUCCGUCCGUCUGUGUUUUGCUGUUCGUCGUUCGUUAUAAGUUCGUAUUCGUACCAUUUUAGUAGUGUAAGCAGUUUUACUACUUUCUCUUUGCUAACGCAAGCGCCGCGCAAUACGAUCUCACAACAUUCAAUACAAUUUUAUUUCAUUUUUGUUUUUUCUUGCUAGUGGAACGAGUAUUUCAGUUGUUUUAGAUUUCUUUCUUGUAAUUGUUGUCAUCGUAGUUGUUGGUCGGUCGUCUUGAUGUAGCAGAGUCCUUUUGCACUAGUGACAACGUGUGUGUGUCUGUACCGGGGGGUCUACUUACAUAUUGUUUUCCGCCUUGUAUAGUUGCUGUUGGAUUUUGAAAGGCAUUUGAAUGACUUCGAAUUGUAUAGUAUGUAGUAGAGUAGAGUAGAGUAGAGUAGAGUAGAAUAAAGUGAAUGUAUGAAUUUAAGGUGUAUUUAACAUUUUCUCUGCGUAGGUGGACUGGCGUUUGUGUGUAUGUAAACGAGCCUAGGAGAUUUUUUUUUUAUAUUUUUCCUCUAACAAUUUUGUUUGUUAGCUCAGCAUUUUCCAAACCAUCACUAUGCUUAUUAUGAACAAGCAUACGAAAAAUGUCACAAAUACACACCGCUACCUCACAAUUGAUGUUAGAUGUCGUCAACAUUAAUAAGUUAAAACUUUUUUGUUUUCAUUUCGACUAAAUUCAAUUGCAAGUACACACACACUCUCUAUAUUUGCACUCAUUGUACUUAGUAGUAUAUAAUGUUGUGGUAGGUAGUCUAGUCUAGUUUGUGUGUUGCCUGUUGGUUGGGUUUUCUUUUCUAUUGGAAGAACAGUCGCCCAUUGUGUUAUGUAUACAAGUGUUUGGGCAAACAAGUUUGACGUGAGUUAAUGGGAGAGCGAGAGAAAGCUUCAAACGUUGUUAGAAUUGCCGGGCGUUUGUAAGUAAAUAGAGAAAAAUAUAUCCAUAUUUACAUAGAGAGUUGCCAUUAUAAUUUCGUUUAUUGAAAUGUUUAAAGAUAUGUAUAUAUGUGUUAUUAAAUUAUGUUAUUUAUGCUUAUACGGAUGUUUACAAUCUUCUGAAUAUGUAUAACUAGUUACAUCUCUCUUAAUACUUAAAUUGUUUAAUGGAAGCGUUUAAAGAUUCGAUUUUAGAGCUUUGAAAUGAAGAGAGAUUGUGAAAUUGAUAAUCUUCAAGAUUGUCACCCGAAUGGAAUGGAAGCGUUUAAAGAUUCGAAUUUAGAGCUUUGAAAUGAAGAGAGAUUGUGAAAUUGAUAAUCUUCAAGAUUGUCACCCGAAUUUCAGGAGAAAGGUUGCCAGAGGGACACCUAAAGAUGUCGAAAUGCUUUAUAUGAACACAUAAAUUAAAGUCCUAAUUUGACAGUGGGAUGAAGCUCACAUACCAUACAUCUUUACAGUCUUAACAGCACCUAGGGGACAAGUCACAAGGACCUACUGUGAUAAGUUAGGUAUAUUUAAAAUAAACUCCAACACACUCAACCAUAAAGGAAAAGCGGCGAUAAGUUAAAGAUUUAAGGUAUUAUAACCCCACAACCAACUCCACUGACUUUAUGAAUUUGGAUUUAUACCACUACGUGGAUAUGGAAACCCCAAUCCACUGAGAAGCCAGGACAAAGUCCUGCCCAUGUCAAUCAUUCCAACGAAACACUUAGGAUACUUUUGACAUCUCCAGUUAAGUCCCGACAGACUAGAGGUACUUGUUGCACCUCUUUAUCCCAAGAUUACAAUACCCAAAAUGAGGUUCGUUCAUCAAGGAAAAGCCGAGGACUCAUUUGAUGGAGGAAAACUCAUCAAGAACACAUAAUUCAUGAUUGUUGCUGCCUUUCGACAUAAUUGUACAGUCGUCCGCAUACAAAAUCACGUCUAUGUACAGGAAGUUUAGAGAGGUUGAAUUUAAACAAUAGCGACGAUAGUACAUUCUUGUGCUACGCCCUGUUUAACUCUAGGAUGUUUGCAGCGUCUCUCUUAACUCUACAAACUACUGACAAUCCCUCAGAUAAUUUCUGUGAGAUUUAAGUUUUAUGAGAUCUGAGUAGAGAAAGCGUUUAAUGCUGUGGUAAUUAUGAUGGAAUAUAAAUAUCCAGGAGAGAUUGAAGAAUCAACUAAACGCUAUGUUUGUUUUCUAAGCACCAUUUAUAGGUCUGUUCGAACCUUGAUGUAAAUGGAAACGACAGAGGGGUUACAAGUCACCAGUUAUGGAGGAGUAAAUUGGAUAGAUUGUUAUUUAUAUCCUUAUGAUUAAAGCUUGCUUAUUGAGAAGUAAAUUGGAUUGUUAGUUAUUUAUAUCCUUAUGAUCAAAGCAUUAAGUAAUGGCAGCCAAUGUAAUUGUUGCACUGGAUUGAUGUAGUCUAAGGUUUUUUUAAGAUCAUUGUUCUAUUAGAGCCUUUGUCCUCAGGCUAUUCGAAGAUCCGAAAGGGUCUGGAUAGAUAAUAAGCACUACUAGGACUUUUACAAGAUAGCUGCUAGUUAGGAACCUGUGUGAUCUUAACGGUUUUGUUUUAGAUAAUCCAAAAUGAAAUCUAUGAAUUCGUGUUAGUGCUAUUGUUUAGAAGUACUUAAUGUGUAGUUAUAAUAUAAUUAAAUCAAAUUCCCUAAAUUUGGUAUGAAAAACAUUAUAAAAGGCCUCAUUCGCAUUGAUUAUUAAAAUUAUAAAAUUCAUAUUCCAAAUAUAUAAUUAAUCAUUAUACUUUCACCAAACGCGUGAAUCAAAUUAAAUUUACUAAUUUUUUGCAUUUCUUUUAUGGCCAAAAUAAUAACAAUUAAAUGGUGCUUAUUUUCACGAAAAGAAAGAGAAAAGAACUUAAAAUAAUUUAUCAUUAUUAUCUAUUCUUGAGCUCAUCAAAGAAUUUCUACUAAAAAAAUAACCUUGGCAACACUGCUACAGCCACACAUUUACACUCACUCAUUUUUACGAGUUUUUGCGUUGUUGUCUUAAAUGUUAGAGAAAAUUAUUUGACAGUUAGGGCGAGAGAGAGAGAGAGUGAAAAACAAGAAGUGCACGAAAAAAAAGGAAAUUCCUAGAAAAUAUAAUAAUAUAAAAGUAAUAAUAAAAAUAUAAUAUAUAGAAACAAAAUGACAACGAGUACGACGAAAACAAUUUCCCUUUUAAAGAGAAUUCUUUUCUGAAUGAAAAUGUUAUCAAAAAAGGACGGACAAGGGGGCAUAUAGAAGAACAAAUGAUACUUACAUAAAUGUGGCCUACAAUGUGAAUCAUUUAUAUAGAGGUCGGGGUGUUGCAGGCUUGGACGACGGUUUAAGUGUUGGCAAAAAUAUAACUAAAUACUUUGACAGUCAUAAAGGGACUUUUGUACAUGUACAUAUAUACAUAUUAAUAUAGUUUUAGUUUAAGUUGAUGAGUUAGAGUGGUGGAAAAAAUUAAAAACAAAACAGGACGAUGGUGGACAAAAUAAAAACGAUGAUGGCGAAAUAGCGAUAACAACGCCAAUGACGGUGACAAUGAUGAAACAUUCGUGGGGUUCUAUUGAAAUUGUGUUAACUUACUCAGUUGAUGAUAUGGGGGUUUCCGGUAAUAUUACCCAAAACGCAUACAAACUCAAAGUAUAAGUUCAUGUUUUUACGCAAUAAUAAUGAUACAACAACGUCUAGUUAUUAGAACUAUAAUAAAACAAACAACCACAAAAUAUAAUAAAAACACAGAAGGACGACAACAACAAGCGACCAUCAACAUCAACACUCAGUGGAAUUAACCAAUAUUUUAUUAUUACCAUGAUUUCAUUCCCAGUUUUUUUUUUUAUAAAAAGAAUUAACAAGAACGCAGAAGAAAAACACCCACUAACCUCUUGCUGUCACUUUAAAAAAUCAUAGGAAAACCCCAACACAGGACAUUGAAACAAAGUGAAAUCACAUAAUGAAUCAUUCAAUUUAUAUGGAAAAUAUAAAUAUGUAAAAGAAUUUUUAUUAUUACCGGUUUUGUUGUAAUAUAUAAGAUUUCAACAUAAUUUUAAAGGUAGGUUGCUUUUGGUUUGGGUUUACCGCCUUUGGUACUUUGGGUUGUGUUUCUCCAUAAAUUGUAACGUGCACUCAUC